UCCGCUCCGCGGGCGCGCUGCCCCGGUCCGGCCGCUCGUGCGAGCUCCGCGCUCGGAGACUAACGCUCUCUGGUUUAUCCGUGUAAGUCCGCCCUGGCAGGCCGCAAGGUUCCAGUAGAACUGAGGCAUCUCUGGAUUCCUACUGAUGAAACUUCACUUCACACAUGACCCUUUGAGGACACAGGAGCAGUGAUUAUGUGGUGCUGCAGGCUCUUGCAUGAGAAACAGAGUUGGAAAGAAAAACACUUAGUAGCUUAACUGGAAGAAAACCUCAGAUGCGAGGCCAUCUUCAGCUCUGCUGUGCAGCAGAAGAGUGAAUGCUGUGACUAUGCUGAGCAUAGUCAGCAUGUGAUCCUGCAUAGACUGGCAUAUAGUGCAGAAAUAAGGUGGAUGUCAUCUAAAGGUGUAUGUUCCUGGACUCCUGGUUAAAAAUAGGCUGUCUGUCAAGGGUGUGGUAAGCAGUGGACAAUACCAAAACCAGGAGAUAUAAGAACCUUUCCUACAGGAUUAAAAAUUUGACUCUUCUGU
rnacentral:lncRNA from 1 species